rnacentral:rRNA from 1 species
AGCUGACGACGACCAUGCACCACCUGUCAUUGCGUCCCCGAAGGGAACGCCUCAUCUCUGAGGUUAGCGCAAGAUGUCAAGACCUGGUAAGGUUCUUCGCGUAGCUUCGAAUUAAACCACAUGCUCCACCGCUUGUGCGGGCCCCCGUCAAUUCCUUUGAGUUUCAACCUUGCGGUCGUACUCCCCAGGCGGAGUGCUUAAUGCGUUAGCUCCGGCACUGAAGGGCGGAAACCCUCCAACACCUAGCACUCAUCGUUUACGGCAUGGACUACCAGGGUAUCUAAUCCUGUUCNCUACCCAUGCUUUCGAGCCUCAGCGUCAGUUGCAAGCUAGACAGCCGCCUUCGCCACUGGUUGUUCUUCCAUAUAUCUACGCAUUCCACCGCUACACAUGGAAGUUCCACUGUCCUCUCUUGCACU